rnacentral:rRNA from 1 species
AUGCUCGUUCUUUCUGUUGGCUUCCUUUCCUUGUGUGUGGUUCCAGGUGAUGGCACUUCCGAGCACCACGUCUGUUGUGUCAACCCCGGGCUUCCUGGAGGGUCAAAGUGCUAUCGCCCUUCUGAGGUAGUUGCUGCUUCUUCAAGUGUUCCUCCAACUCAGUCCAAGACUCCUUCCAAGCAAGUUGCAAACAAGCCCAAGUCGAAGUCGAAGUCUAUGACAGAGAUGACUGCUAAGGAGUUCUGUGUGGCACGUCGCCGCAACUCGUAUGCUCAGAUCAAGAUCCAGCUCUUGUCAAUCGUCCCUUCUUGA